GAAUCCACCCAGUUUUCAGAGACAUCAUCUUGCUGCAGAUCGACAACAUUCCGCUACACGGAACAGUGCUUCUGACUUGAAAGCUCGUGUUACUGUUUUUGUAAGGAGACAGCAGUGGAGCACGACUUCAGUCUUCAGUCUAAAUAUACCACCCUAAACGCAUGGCUGUCACAAUACUGAACCAAUAACACGUUUAUACAUCCUCCUUCCUUGGCUAACAUUCAGUGCUUAGUCAUCUCCCUUGCAGCGUGAGUGUCAGUUUUCCCUAUUUUAUACAAGGUAGAAUGUGAAUCGUGACCAUCCUCAUCUGAAGGGGCA